rnacentral:tRNA from 1 species
GGAAAUGUAGCUCAGUGGUAGAGCACUUAACUAGCAUACACGAGGCCCUGGGUUCAACCCUGGCACCUCCC